GAUGAAGAACGCAGCGAAAUGCGAUAAGUAAUGUGAAUUGCAGAAUUCAGUGAAUCAUCGAAUCUUUGAACGCACAUUGCGCCCCUUGGUAUUCCAUGGGGCAUGCCUGUUCGAGCGUCAUUUGUACCUUCAAGCCUUGCUUGGUGUUGGGUGUUUGUCUCGCCUCUGCGCGCAGUCUCGCCUCAAAACAAUUGGCAGCCGGCGUAUUGAUUUCGGAGCGCAGUACAUCUCGCGCUUUGCACUCAGAACGACGACGUCCAAAAGUACAUUUUUACACUCUUGACCUCGGAUCAGGUAGGGAUACCCGCUGAACUUAAGCAUAUCAAUAAGCGGAGGA
rnacentral:misc_RNA from 1 species